rnacentral:lncRNA from 1 species
AUAAAACCUAGUUACUUGCAUGGCUCUAUGGGAUUAUUAACAAGAAAUUGGAUUAUAAUAUAAUGUUAUUGGAUGAUUUUCACUUUAUUACAGGUGAAUUGCUUUUGGAGGUGUUUGUGAUGCAAUACAUUCAGUAAGGGGUCUUCUAGAGCUAUUUGGUUGAGGCCUUGUGCUUGUAAAUUGUAAGACUGUGCCCCAGGAAGCCCAUCAGGCUUCUGCAUCCCAGCAUCUUACCUUUAAGGCUCAAUUACCAUUUAAUAGUAUCAGCAGCAGCAGUAGCGAUGGUAAUAAUUNN